GCCCGGUUAGCUCAGCCGGUAGAGCGUUGGACUUUUAGUGCAUAAAUGGAGGGUUGAAGUCCCUUAUCGGGCU
rnacentral:tRNA from 1 species